rnacentral:lncRNA from 1 species
GUUUGAUUUUUGUAUUUUUCUCAUAACUCUGACUUUGCCGUCAGCAUACAUAAAUAAUAAACAUUUACAGACCCGUCUCUUAAUCUCGGGAGAAAAGCAAAUGAUAGAUUCUGUCUUUUUUUACAUAAAACAAAACAUGCACAAAAUCUAUUGUGUAUACAUGAAAACUAUAGUGUAUACACGAAAAAACAAUAAUAUAUACAAAACAAAUGAUUGUACAUAAUAAUAUAUGAUCUUUUGCCUGAAAAAUUAUCAAGAAUUAAUUGCCAAUGGAGAAAAGUGAACACUAUUGAGUUGUGAGCCACAAUCUAGAUCCAAUUGCCAAUCUUAAAUUUAAUAUUAACGGAGUUUGAUAAAAUAAAAAAAAAAGAACUUUAUAAACUGAGAAAAGGUUUCUCAUGAUGUUUUUUGCUAAUAUAUGACAAUCUUGCAAAAAAUAAAUUAACGGACACAGAAAAUACAAUUUUGAGAGGAAUCCGACUAGGAAAGAUUCUGUCCUUCUUGAAAGCUGUUGUCCGCGGUCACUUCAAAGGGUACAAUUAUCAGACAGUUAAUACUUUCCUGUUAGCACAUGCAAUAUAAAUACAGAUUAUCCCGACUAAGACAAAUUUUAAUAACUUCAUGUACUAAAAGUAACACGAUUUUAAUCUAAAGCUGUAUUAAAACAAAGAACUAAUAACAAUCCUCUUAUAGGUUCUCUGAAACUUCUUACGAUAACGUGGAAGAUAAAGACAUUUAUUUCUAUUUGUAUUCAUGCCCGAUUGGGAAAAGAAGGCCCGGAUCUAAAGAUGGUGUGAAAGGGCUCUAUAGGGACCAGGCUUGAAAAGGCGACUUCCAGCGUAAUUUUCAUUAGUCAGUUUUACAUGCCUAACACGCCCCCCCCCCCAAAAAAAAAAAAACAACAACAAGAAAAAACGAAUAUAACGGUUAAUACCCAUUUUGUCAGCUGGCCACGGUUUCCCACAAAAGAAGCCAAUCUAACAUGAUUUGUAUUAGGUUAAUCAGAUUUUACUUCAAUAAAUUUUGGUUAAUCUUGAUUAUCAAAAAAAAAAUAGUAAUUCAAAAGUUAAGUUUGUAUAAAGGAACAAAAAGGAACAAGGAAAGGUCAAUACUAUUUAAAAAAGUACAGUUCAACGAGGAUAUCUUGAAGGGUUAAAUGAGUCCAGACAAAAGAUCAUAUUUCAUAAACAAUUAUGGCAUACGAAAUGUACAUGCAAUAUUUUUCUUAUAGCACCAUCAGACAACAAACAAAAAUCUUUGAUUGUCAACGAAAAUAACAGAUAAAACAUCACUAUCUUAAGGUGUGUUACCACUAUAUACAAAUUGUUAACACAAAAUAAAACCCAGUUUUACUAUUCUUGUUCUACUAUCUGUAUGUACAUGAAAUUAAGUACAACUGUUCAAUAACAAAAAAGAAUAUAAACAGUUCCUUCUGAUUCAAUGGAAAAUAUAAUAAAACAUGUCAUCUUCAUGCAUGUAAUAAAAAUACAUGGUAUCCCACUUUAAGAAAACCUAAUAGCUACUAGACAAAUGUGAAAAUCUCUUUAAAAAAAGGUAAAAGUUGUGAAAAUUUAAAAAAAUUAUAUAAAUGAGUCCCUCUCUUAUAAGAAGCUCCUUGCUACAUGUACUUUUGGAAAUAAACGUAUUUAAUAUAAACUUUCAUUUUACAUUAAAUUAAUUAAACAAGAAACAGUGAUUAAAAGACAUUUUUCUCUUUAUAAAAUGUUUGGGUUUUGCUUCAAAAAUUAACAAUGAUUCAUCAAAAAUACAAAAUUCCAGAAAAAAUAGAUCUUUGUAUAUUAUAUCACAUUAUUGCAAUCGUUGUUUGGAAAACCUAUAUCUGAUAUGUGUGAACGUAUAAAUUACACAGCUAAUGAUACAAAAAAAUGCAUCAAAUUGGUAUUGUUUUCCCCGAGUAGGGAUUUUCCCUUUUUCACUCUUUAAAAUGACUAAAAUUCGUUUAUAAAAUAUUCUAAUUUAAUAUUUAUCAACAUGAAAAAAGCUUUUGAUUCAGAAUAAAAAAAGGUACUGCAGCUUUCAGUGACAAAUAUUUAAUGCACAUUAAUGACUGUUUCUUAUUAGAUCAAAAUUGGACGCACUAUAGAGUAAUAUCUGUUCUAUGGUUAUCAUUCAAAUUCAAAUAGUCUUUGACAGUUGCAUAUUACUGUAUAAAUAGAUCGAAGUUAUUUUUGUAAUGUAACUACAUUUAUCUUUUUAAUGAAAUAUGUUUUAUGCCCAAUAUAAUUAUAUGUAGUUUUGAUAAACAUGUAUAUUUAACAUAAAAAAAACCCAACAUUCUUCUAACAUACACAUUGAUUUUCCCCCAUCACAUUGACCUAGAGUUACAUUGUAGUCACUGCCUUUCUGAAUAAAAAUCGAAAUGCAUUUCAGUGCAAAAAACUUUCCAAUACUCUACCAUACAAUCCAUUUCGUAACACAAAUCGCCCAUCGAUAAAACUCAACAAAAAAAUGUCAGUUUCUCUGCUUCCAUAAUAAUUAAUUUUGUGUGAAUUUAUCCAAUUUUAAUACUAGACUCGCCGUGCCACGGUGAAUUGAUUAAAUAUAUCUUUUCAGCUAAAAAACUCCUCCAUUUGGUUAUGUAAAUAUUUAAAGUUUAAUUCAUUUUGAAGAGGACAAAAGGUUUUUUGUGUAAUUUUCUGAUAUUUUCGAUCACAAUUAGAACUAUCAAUUAAAAAAGGAGAUAGAAUUUUAAAAUACAUCACUGACACAUGUGCACUGAGUGUAGAUGGGGUCAAAGUUUGUCUGAGUUCAUAAAUCGUUUUCAAAAUAAUUGUAUUGUAUUAUUUAAAAGAUGACAUAACACAUCUUACCACAAAAAUUUUAAAACAUAAAACCAAAUGAAUGAAAUUUUCUCUAAAUUUCUGAUAUAUACCCCAAUCGAAUAAUAAUAAUUAAUAAAUGAAAUUUUAAUAAAUCCCAAGAAUCAAGAUAAUUGUACAAAUGUUACUGUAAGCCCUUUUCUAUUAUCUUACUCAAUAUCAAAAAGAGUUAUGAUCUUGAAAAAUAUAAAUUAAUGAAAUUUUAACAAUUACAAAGCAACAUGCAAUAUAAUACAUGUUAUAUAAUCACAAUACUUAUACAUGUAUGAUGUAUAUUUCUAAAUGCUAAAUGGACAGCACCAAAGAAGUAAAUUACAUAUGUAGGCUAAUGUGAUUGGUUGUGCAGUAGCAAACACUACAGUAGCUGGUGUUUAUUUAUUGAAUACACCUGUAUCCCUUUUAAUUAACUUAUUUUUCCUAGCAAAAUCAUAUUAAGACAUUUUUUCCCAAACAGAAACAUCCAAGUAAUAAUCAAUUGUGCUUUCUAAUUUUUCUGCACAAAAUGGUUGUGAAAUUAAUUUCACUAAGUAUUUUAUCAGUGAAAAAGGAGUAUUUGUAAAUUUACCUUCAAGUUUUGAGUAUUAUAUACGAAUUAAUUACGAACAAUAAUUAAAAAAUAAUCAAUAAGAACACGAUAAAUAUCAUAUUUUUCGACAGAAUGAAAUGUUUAAAAAUUCUUUGGUCACUGUUUAUAAUGAAAGUCAGCGUUUGUGUACCAGUAUUUAAUUAACAAACCAAAGUCCAAUAGUGGUCUGUUUGACCUCUUAAAAUCUUUUUGCAAACACGACGUGCAAACAUCCGUUUUGUAAUUAAUUUACAAAAGGAUAACAUUGAAUUCAAUAUUAGUUAU